rnacentral:misc_RNA from 1 species
GAUGAAGAACGUAGCGAAAUGCGAUAAGUAGUGUGAAUUGCAGAAUUCAGUGAAUCAUCGAAUCUUUGAACGCACAUUGCGCCCGCCAGUAUUCUGGCGGGCAUGCCUGUCCGAGCGUCAUUUCAACCCUCGAACCCCUCCGGGGGGUCGGCGUUGGGGAUCGGGAACCCCUAAGACGGGAUCCCGGCCCCGAAAUACAGUGGCGGUCUCGCCGCAGCCUCUCCUGCGCAGUAGUUUGCACAACUCGCACCGGGAGCGCGGCGCGUCCACGUCCGUAAAACACCCAACUUCUGAAAUGUUGACCUCGGAUCAGGUAGGAAUACCCGCUGAACUUAAGCAUAUCAAUAAGCGGAGGA